rnacentral:tRNA from 1 species
GGAAGGUUGGCAGAGCGGUCGAUUGCAUCGGUUUUGAAAACCGAAGGGUGUUAAUAGCAUUCCGUGGGUUCAAAUCCCACACCUUCUUCCA